CCUACGGGAGGCAGCAGUGGGGAAUAUUGCACAAUGGGGGAAACCCUGAUGCAGCGACGCCGCGUGAGUGAAGAAGUAUUUCGGUACGUAAAGCUCUAUCAGCAGGGAAGAAAAUGACGGUACCUGACUAAGAAGCCCCGGCUAACUACGUGCCAGCAGCCGCGGUAAUACGUAGGGGGCAAGCGUUAUCCGGAUUUACUGGGUGUAAAGGGAGCGUAGACGGCAGCGCAAGUCUGGAGUGAAAUCCCAUGGCUUAACCAUGGAACUGCUUUGGAAACUGUGGAGCUAGAGUGCAGGAGAGGUAAGCGGAAUGCCUAGUGUAGCGGUGAAAUGCGUAGAUAUUAGGAGGAACACCAGUGGCGAAGGCGGCUUACUGGACUGUAACUGACGUUGAGGCUCGAAAGCGUGGGGAGCAAACAGGAUUAGAUACCCGGGUAGUC
rnacentral:rRNA from 1 species